rnacentral:lncRNA from 1 species
CGUGUUUCCGGUGUUUAAUAAUCAGUCGCAGCUGCUGCUUGUCUCACAGAAAUAAAAUGUCGCUCCUUAAUUCAGAUAGAUCACCUCCUGUCUCCAAAGUCUGGAUCGCACUGAGACGACUUGACAAAAACGAUGAACGAGUAGUGGCUCUUCGAAAUGUAUCCAUUCCUCAGGCUGAUAGUACUACAAUAAUCCAGAUUCUUUCCGAUUCCUUUGGGUUGAACACUUCUAAUGUCGUAUUCAAGAUUAGGAACCACCGUGGACGUCUGAUCCCUAUAAAUAGCUCCAUACCUGCCAACAGCAAGCACAUACCUCAUGUGUUGGAGCUAACCCGAAUCUUUCAGCAUGUGCAACCUAAACCCAGGAGCAUUCCCAUGACUGUGAUCAACACCAGUAUGAAGACGCGUCUGCAGACCAUUAACAGGAGGAUCCAGAGACUGAGUGACCAUCUGCCUCAGAUUAAACUCCGGCACAAUGAAAGACUAACGCAGGUAUUGAUAAUUAAAUUAAACACAAUGCUACGUUGGUAUGAGAAAUAUCAAAAUAAUACUAAAAAUGUCUGGGGUUCCUAAAGAUUUUCAUUUUGUUGGAAAACAAGCCUAAAUGUAUAAUAUAAUCUUGUGUCAGGAGAUCGAAUGCCUCAACCAGAAGUUGAGUUUUCUUCACAAGAGGAUGCAAGUGAGUCUUUCUCAUCAAAUAUUUAGAUUUUGAUCAAUUCUGGUCAAACAAAAUUGCAUUUAUUGUUAAGUUACAUAUUUAGUACCGUUACCAUUUAACACGUUUUAAUGUCUUGUCCAUAAGAAGGAACAUAUGCUAAGGUCCUCCAGUUGAUUCACUUUAAACAUGGCUGACAUGUUCCCAAAAAUAUAUACUGUAAUACUUGUUUAUCUAUUUGUUUAAAUCUUCUCCUUUUUUUUUUUUUUGUAAAAUACACACCAUGUUUCUAGAGGUUCUGACUGAUUUCUGUGACUGCAGGUUGCAGAUUCCCACAGUUGGAAAGGAAUGCUGACCAGAGCCCCUUUCUGGUAGAACAAGAAAACUGUUGAAAUCAUUUAUUUAUUAGAAUGUUAUUCUAUUAUUUAGUUGUUGUUUUUUGCCUAACAAUUAAUGAGUUAUUCACUUGAAGUGUGAUAAUUUGUUACUAUCUAGAUUUAAGUUUAGCUUUAUGGUGUUUCAAUAAAAUGUACAGUAUGUUGUAAAUGUUCGUAUUA